GGGAGGGGACUAGGGCCUCAAGACGCGUUGAAGAAGGACUCUCGAGGUCUUUCUCGGGGGGCGGCGGGAAACCCUCGUUUCCCUCGCCUUCUGCCGGGGACCUUAGGGAACUUCCCAGGGUGCCUCUGAGAGGCGAGGGAUCCUGUGGAGGUGGCGGGGACCCUCGGGACUCCGCUGGGCUUGUCGCAACGGAAGAGGGCCUCACCUCGAGGGGAGGCAGGAACCUCAGGCUUCCUCUGCGUUUCGGACUCCGACCGCAGGGUCCCUGCAGAGUUGGGACAGGAGAGUCAGGCCUCAUCUUGUCUGAGGAAGGGAACCCCGC